rnacentral:lncRNA from 1 species
AUGAUACAAAACCUGCAGAGGUCAGUAAGUUUAAAUGAUUUUGAAAUCAGGUCUUUAUGGCUUCCUUGGAUGUAUGAGAUUCCAAACAAGAAUUUGAAAUCAGGUUCCUCAUUGUGUAGGUUACAGGAAAUACAAUGUUAUGACCCUGUAUCAACCGUUUUCCAAGGAAAUUCAGUGCUGAAAGAUCAACUGAGACCUUCAUCUGGUAAAAGUACAUUUCUCCCACCCCUAGUAAUACAACUCUUCCAAGAAGAGAAGUUGGACACCGGGAGCUGCUGAAUUAUUCUGUGUAUGAGGAAGCUUAUUUGGGAGACAUCACCUACUGCUCCCUCUGUAUGUGAGUGUGUGGGGAUUAUUUAGAGUUUAAAUACUUUUAAAAUCUCAACUUUUCAUAGAGUGUUCUGAAUUUUAAAAUUAUUCCAGAAAUGAAAAUGACACCUAUUUCAAGUUCACAUAUCGACAGAUGCUAAACACAUAUGAAGGAACAAGUGGGUGUUGGUUUUUCACCUGCCCUGUCUCUUGUACUAAGCCCUUUCAAACUAUUAAGUUUCAGAAGUUUUCUUCAAGUGUUUGUAAAUGAAUGUCAUCUUUAAUUCCAUACAGUUGUAGAUUUCAGGUCUUUAGUUAACUUCGUUCUCACACUCUACAUGUGUAAUUUUUUAAAUAUAGAUUUACACAGUGUGGGUAACACCCUUUAAAAAAAAAAAGUCUUUGAAAUGACUUCGACAAAGUUGCUGCUGCUUUCUUCAGCAGUGAUGUGGCCCCAUGUGUGGAGGUUAGGAUUGGAUAACAUCUGCAGUGCCUGCUUUAUUCUUGCUUACGUAUCCAAAGACAGCUGCCUCUUCCAGCAGCCAGUCAUGCAUGUAAUUGUAGUUCUGACUGGUUGAAGCCUCCUGCUUAAGCAGUUGUAAUACUGACAAGAUUGUGACCUGCAUCACUGGCAGAGUUUUUCCACCUUUCUGUGAAACACGAGAGCCCAAUAUUGGCUACAGUUUACUGCUUGAGCUUUGUACUGAUACAAUGCUACUGUCUUCAGUAGCAUUAUUUUAGUGUGAAAGUGGACUUAUGUGGUGAAAAUCUGGGCUGAAUUUUCAAGUAGGAAAAUAUUUUCUGAAGAGUUAAGUGAUAGAUAUACUACUCACUUUUGAAAGUUUGAUCUGGCCUGCCUAUAUGUUUCAUCUGCUUUCUAUGCUGAAAGAAAGAUUUGUUUAUAAUUGCAUUUGUUUUUUGCUUAGCAUAUGUUUAGGUAAGAGUACUUGCCAGAAAAUCUGUAUGAAGU